GCCGCUGUGGACUUGUGGAAUCACCUCAUCCAGAUUCAUCUCCCGAAAGAGAGUAUUGAGGAGACGAGGGUUCGAUUCCCUUCAGAGGCC